GAUGAACGCUGGCGGAGUGCCUAAUACAUGCAAGUCGAGCGAAGCGGGGACGGGUGAGUAACACGUGGAUAACCUACUAUAAGACUGGGAUAACUUCGGGAAACCGGAGCUAAACCGGAUAAUUAUAGAUGGAUACGCGCUGCAUUAGCUAGUUGGUAAGUUAACGGCGUACAAAGGCAACGAUGCAUAGCCGACCUGAGAGGGUGAGCGGCCACACUGGAACUGAGACACGUUCCAGACUCCUACGGGAGGCAGCAGUAGGGAAUCUUCCGCAAUGGGCGAAAGCCUGACGGAGCUACGCCGCGUGAGUGAUGAAGGUCUUCGGAUCGUAAAACUCUGUUAUUAGGGAAGCGGUACCUAAUCAGAAAGCCACGGCUAACUACGUGCCAGCAGCCGCGGUAAUAC
rnacentral:rRNA from 1 species